rnacentral:rRNA from 1 species
CGGCUCAGUAACACGUGGAUAACCUACCCUUGAGACGGGGAUAAACCCGGGAAACUGGGUACAAUACCCGAUAGAUCUCGACUGCUGGAAUGCAUCGAGCUUGAAAGCUCCGGCGCUCAAGGAUGGGUCUGCGGCCUAUCAGGUAGUAGUGGGUGUAGCGUACCUACUAGCCUACGACGGGUACGGGUUGUGAGAGCAAGAGCCCGGAGAUGGAUUCUGAGACACGAAUCCAGGCCCUACGGGGUGCAGCAGGCGCGAAAACUUUACAAUGCUGGAAACAGCGAUAAGGGGACCUCGAGUGCCAGGUUACAAAUCUGGCUGUCGUGAUGCCUAAAAAGCAUUGCAUAGCAAGGGCCGGGCAAGACCGGUGCCAGCCGCCGCGGUAACACCGGCGGCUCGAGUGGUAACCGUUAUUAUUGGGUCUAAAGGGUCUGUAGCCGGCCGGAUAAGUCUCUUGGGAAAUCUGGCAGCUUAACUGUCAGGCUUUCAGGAGAUACUGUCUGGCUCGAGGCCGGGAGAGGUGAGAGGUACUUCAGGGGUAGGGGUGAAAUCUUGUAAUCCUUGAAGGACCACCAGUGGCGAAGGCGUCUCACCAG